rnacentral:rRNA from 1 species
UACGGGGGGGGCAAGCGUUGUUCGGAAUUACUGGGCGUAAAGGGCUCGUAGGUGGCCAACUAAGUCAGACGUGAAAUCCCUCGGCUUAACCGGGGAACUGCGUCUGAUACUGGAUGGCUCGAGUUCGGGAGAGGGAUGCGGAAUUCCAGGUGUAGCGGUGAAAUGCGUAGAUAUCUGGAGGAACACCGGUGGCGAAGGCGGCAUCCUGGACCGACACUGACGCUGAGGAGCGAAAGCCAGGGGAGCAAACAGG